rnacentral:lncRNA from 1 species
UGUAGUUGUAGGGGCGGUGAAGGUGGUGGUGGUUGUAGUCGUAGGUGCGGUGACGGUGGUGGUGGUUGUAGUUGAGGGGCGGUGACGGUGGUGGUGGUUGUAGUUGUGGGGCGGUGACGGUGGUGGUGGUUGUAGUUGCAGGGGCGGUGAAGGUGGUGGUUGCUGCGGUGGCCGUAGUUGUGGGGGCAGUGCUGGUGGUGGUUGUAGUGGUGGCGGCGGUGGCAUGUCGCUUCCUUCCACCGACAGCUCCGCGUGGGCCGCGGCGGGCUCUGACCCCUGAGGGAGGAGGAGGGGCGGGUGGAGCUGGGCCGGCGGCCUGAGCGCUGUCCUGCCGCCGAGCCCGCGGGGCGGCCGCACGUGCCGCGCUGCCGUUGGCUGGAGGGCCUGGAGGAGCCACCGCCCGGCCAGCCUGCGGGGUCGGGGCGUGCGGCUCUGCGGGUCCGGCCCUGGAGCUGAAGCGCCGUGGUCGCAGCCCUGGAGAAUUGCUGUUGAAGAGGGACAAGAGAGGAGGACAACGCAGGAGGAGAUAAGUAGCUCUGGCUGGACACAAGGGCAGGUCACAGCACUCGAUAGUCGUUGUGGAACAGGGAAAGGGCCGGGAGGAGGCUGCAGCCUGCAGGGCCGGCUGAUAGCGCGAGCUCCUCCUGGAUCUCCCUGGCUCAGGAGCUGUCUCCCCUCCCCUCCUCCCUUUUUGUACCGCCUUAUUGAGUUGUUGACACCCAACUGAUCGUUCUCAACAGUGUUGAGAAACACUGAUUUUGUGGUCUGCCUUAAAGUUUUAGUCCUUGUUUUACAUUUUAAUAUUGGUGCAUCUCAACCUUGCAGGGGCCUAGAGGUGGCAGCUGUCUCUCCUCAUGGGAUCUAGCUGUUGGAAUUAUUGAGAGAAAGGAUUUCUGUUUUUGACCCCAUAGGAAUAGAUCCAGAAUUCAACCCCAAAUUUGCCUUCUCAGAGAAGUAUAUGCCGUCUAGACUUGGGGACAUGAUCAGAGGCCCCUGCCCCUGACUUUUAAAAUUACCUUUACUUUCUAGAGCUCUUAUACUUUCCAAAGUGCUUUUUCUCACAUCAGCUCACUUGUUCUUACAACAGCCCUGUAAAGUAUUAUUAAUAUUACUAGGCAGACAGCUCUGAGGCACCUGAAGUAUUUCUCUCUCCCCACCUCCAUUCUCUCUUGCAAAACUAUUGCUAGGCUAGUCUUUGCUAUCUUUACAUCAGUUUUCUAAAAUCAAAAUCCUUCGAUCGCUCUCUGUUUGUCCUCCUAUCAGAUUGAACCCCCUCUGCCUAGGUUAUACUGUGGCCUUAAAACCAGGGUCUAAUCCUACUCUAAACCCUUUCUCACCACAGUUCCUGGAAUAAGGCUGACUGUGCCUCAGCCCGCGUGCUUCCCUCAGUAGCGAUGCCUCCUCUCAGACCACCCGUCUGCCUAUUCUUUAGCAUCUGACUCCCCCUUGGAGCCUGCCCAGAUCAUUAACACCUUAAAGAUCCCAUCUUCCUCUGAAUUCCCAUGGUUGCCAUGGCUAUUUGGUCAAUUAUAAUGUGGUUUUAAAGGCCUAAUAGAGAAAAUGUAUAGGAUAGACUUGAUAUAGGGAAGAAAGCACUGAACUAAGUGGGUUGUAAAGACGAUGUCUACUGAGCAGCUGUGGGCUCCAAGUAAGGUUGCUCUGCAUUUGUGGUUCUAUGUUUCCUGAACUGUGAACGUGGAGAGGUUUGGGCCAGGUGAUGCUGAUGGUCCCUUCUCCUUCUGAGGUUCUGUGACAACUUGGUCUUCCUUAUGUGGGAUGGGGUUCGGGCUCUUAUGGAGUUCUUGAAUGAAAGUGUCAGGAAUGAGCACUCAGUGCCUUCAGGACUGGUUCUAUUCCAAAGAUUGCUAAUGCUAAACUUGACAAUCUUUGAAUGCCAUGUGCCUUUUUUGGUAGGCAUUUUAGCCACAAGCAUUCAGGGAAGGUAGCGGGAUGAUGAAUUAGGAACAACAAAGGGUUAUCCUUGUGAAUGACUUCGUAUGAUGGAAUAGAUAAGGUCAACUAUUGGAUAAAUCUAAGUCUUAGCAUUUAUAAUUUACUUUGCAUUUCAUCUUCACUGGAUGGUGCUAUAUAAUAAAUGCAGUUAUGUUUUCCUUUUGCUCAUUUCAUGACUUGGAAACAUUAAAAUAGUCAAAACUCUAGGAUAGAUGCUGAUGACUUUCUGUAAUGAUCUGGUUGGUCACAUGUUGUAAGGAUGCAUAUGCAUGUACAUGUAUUACAUGCACAUUUUGCUUGAAUUAAGAAGGGUACUCCUAAGUUAUGAGGUGCUAUUGUACAUUGACCAGACUUAAGGAUCUCUCUUUAAAGUGUGUUGACAUUUAAUUGACCUUUGAAGGUUCACUCUGUUAAUCAUACUCAGAAUGCUGAAGCUGUGGUUGGCUGCUCUGGUGUUUUACAUCCAGGCAUGCUCAGCAUAUAAAUUCUUCGGCAUAAUUGCUGCUUAUUUAGCAAGAGUUUCCUUUCUUCUCUGAAAAUGUGAGUUGUGUUUUAUUUUUGUAUCUUUUUCUUUUUUAAACUUUGCUUCAGGCUGGAUAGUUUUAGAGGUUUGAAUUGAAAUCCUUUCCUGUCAUUAGUUGUAUGGGGUGUGGUCUCUUAAUAUAGGACUAAUGGAAAUUUCUUGCUUAGUUGAAGUGUACUCUUCUUCUGGCAGAAGUUAGAACUCUUUGAGGUAUAAUGCUAAAAUUUAGAGAAGCUUAACACUUCAACACUACAUAUUUUUAACCUGAUAAACUUUUGAAAAUCUUUCAGUUCCAUUUUUGUAGAUUAAAACUAUCAGUGCUAAUACUUUUUAUUAAGCCAGGAUUCAAAGGAUCUAUUUCCAUAGCAUACUUUAAUUAUAUUCCUUGAAUUGCCAUGAGUGGAAUUUUAUUUUAUUAUAAACGAUGUAUUUAUUUUUAAAAAGUCAAAUAUAUUUCUUUUUUAAAGCUUAACAUUUUAUUACCAUCACCUAGAGAACAUCUGCUGAAAUGUUUGAAAAUUUCUGGGUAUUAAGUUUACAAAAUCAGCCUGGAAAUAAUUUUUAAUAUAGUUAGCUUUCUUACAGGUUUCUAAAAUAUUUCUAAUGAUCACUGAAAAGUAGCUACACUUUUUGCUAAAUGUUGAUAGAAAAAUAAAAACAUGUGAUUACCAAAUUUUGAUAAUUUAUCUUUGAGACUCCAGACACUUUUUAAAAAUAUUUUUAUCUUAAAAACAAUUUUUAAAUAGGGAAGAUAAAAUUUAAACCAGAGUUUUUUUUCAUGAGGUGAUUUUAUACUGUUAAAAUACCUAGCUCCAUAUUCGAGAUGCAUUUUGUUCCCUGUUCAAAAGUCUCAUGCCGUGAUAUCAUUAGUGUGUUUACACACUGCAAGCUUGGUAGAUGGGCUCGUGCAUGAAGCUGACCUUAUUUCUCAUCACCACCUCUCCUUCCAUGUUGCCCUAUCUUUUUUCCUGUCUUUCUGUUCCCAGUUUUACAACUUAUAGUUGUCCUUUUCAUUUCAUUAUAACCCCACCACUAAAGGAAAAUAAGUCUUUUCCCUUAGUCCAAACAUUUAACUACAAACUCCAUCCUGUUUUAGAAUACACAAUGAAGCCUCUUAAAUACUAUUAUCUAAAUAAUAUGUAAAGAAUGCAAAUGACGGCAAUGCUGAACAGUCAGAUACAGGAUAUCCCAGACUAAGGAUGAUGAACUCUCACACUUCUAUUUUGUGAAUUGUGACUUGAGCAGAUAGAUUUCUUUCUUUCUGUAUAACUAAGUGUCUCAGGACCAGGCCAGAAUUGGUUAAGUACAGAAUGUUAAGAUAAAGCCUGGUUUCUCCGGUAAUCUGUCUUGGUAAUUAUACUGAACUGAUGACACAUAUUGACAAAAUCAAUAUAUUUGCUCUUCUUUUCUGUUCGAAGUCUGUUUUGCCAUCAUAAAAAGCUUUCUGCCAUUUGAAUCUGGAUAUGUGUAUUCACAGAUAAUUUAUUUUAUUUAACAAAUUCUUAUAUCAUACUUUCAUGUUCUAACCUUAUUCUAAACACUUUACAGGUAUUAGUUUAUUUAAUCCUCUAGCUCUAUAAUUAUAGUUAUUAUAUAGUUAUUAUCAUUUUUCAAUUAAGAAAACCAAGGCACAGAGAUUUAUUUUAGAGUAGGCCCUUAAGUGAUGAGAGACUGCUAAGUGUGGGCCGAAUGGAUAGCUUAACAGUCAUGCUAAGAAUCAACAAAAAGAUGUGCAGGAGUUUUGGGAAGAUGAGUCUUCAUAGAAAGAGUCAGGGACUCAGCCGGGCCCAAUCUUAGAGAGCAACACAUCUUCCCUCCUUGGUUUUAAGCCUUGGGCUAUAUAGAGGCCAAACUUAGAAAGGAGGCACUCAGUCCUAAGACGUGGUCAUUGCUGUGGGCUUCAGCAGCCUCUGGGCCUGAUGAGGGGCUGUGCUGGCUCACUGUGCCUCGCGUAUGGCUGCACACAUUGCAAAUACCGGUGCAGGUGGAGAAUCUCCUCUCCCAGCCUCAACGCCAGCCAGCCCACCACAUUCUCCUUCUUGCCCUGCUUUCUUUGUGUAUUCCUUUGCAAAUAUUGUUCAGUAGUGUUUACGUAUGUGUAUUGUAUGAGGUUUAGAGAACCAUGUUAAGCAAUGAAGUUAAAGGACAAAGCUAUGUUUUCUCUUGGAAUUGGGGAUGGAAGAAAAUGAGAGAACAGGUAAAAGUAGGAAAUACGGAGAAAGGAGGAGACAUCAUGGAAAAGAAGAGAGAUACUGAGGGAAAAAAUGGUGAAAAAACAAGGAAGAAAGAAAAUUACUGAUUUGCUUUACACCCACAGCCCCUCCCCAGCUUCCUUUUCUUUGCCUGACCUGAGGUUCCUGGGGUGUUCUGCACUGUGGGAGUGGAAAAUUUCUCCCUUUCGCAUUUGAGACUUGGGUGUGCUGCCUUGAGAUGCCACGGGUAUCUGAGUAAUAUUUGUUUAUACUGGGUAUUUUUCUCUGUAGUCUUUGUGGAUGGGUCUCAGAAUACAAACAACACUGUUAGCAGAGCUGCAGGUACUCGAUUGCUAUGUUUAUUUUAUUAGUUAAAAAACUGCCAGAGCCCUAGGACUCCUGAGCACAUUUUAAAAAUACCAGAGGCAUUUUUAAGAAGCGCUUUAGAAAGAAAGAAAAAAUAAGAAGAAAAGUUAGGACUUUCAGACUCUGGAAUGCUGACCAACGUGGUAGGGUUUUUUUUAUUGUUUUCAAAGACUCUAUAUUAGGGUCUUUUCAUCAACUAUUUUUUAAAAGUGGGUUUUUAAGUAUGAUACUUUUGUUCCACAGGAUGUAAAACUAAAGUUAAUUCUUUAGGGAAUUUAGGAUUUUUUUGAAUCCACUUAAAUCAUCUCUAAUGACUUUUCUUGGUCAGAUCACAGGUCUGAAAGUAUUUCCUACUGAUUUGUGAUUGUAUUGGGACAGAAUCAUUGAAAUUGUGACACUUCCAGAAAAUCCAAAAUAUAUGGCCAGUUUUACCCUUAAACUUUCUGAUAAUUCAUUUUUGGGCCCCUGAAGUCUCUCUCUUUAUCUUGCUCUCUGUAGAAAGGUACACUAUUCAGUAGCAUUUGUGAAAAACACCCAGUUUAAAUAACAAAAUGUUGAGCUAAUCUAAAUGAUAAAAGUAUUGAUUUGAAGAAAUUAAUUUAUUUUUAAAUAUUCAUUCAUUUCUCAGGUGGAGAAAUGGCCUGGUCUUAACAGGCUUGAUUAGAUUCCCGUCAGUAAAACAAAGUAAACUAAAGAUUUUUUUCCUUGAUCAUUGCAUGACAAUAACAUACUGUUCAAACGUUUCAAGAAUCUCUAAUUAAUUUAGCCUUAGGGAAUAGCAAGGGGGAAAGGGACUUUUCUUUCUCAUUUGUCCUUUUUUUCAUUUAUCCAUUCCUUCCCCUACUUGUCUAUCCUGUCUUAUAAUCAUGGAAAUUUUUAUUUUCUCCCACUGUUCCUUAAAUGUUCCCCAUUUGUACAUCCUAGAUUACCACCACACCAAGUUUUCUUAGAAUUAGGCAGAAAUGGAAGCUGGACCUUUAGAAGCUUAGGGAAAUCAUCCCAUGUUUUCUCAGACUCUCCUCGCUCCCAAGAGGAGAGGAGAAAAACAGUAGUUGGUUUGUGACUGUUGCUUCUGUGGCUGCCCUAUUUGGUUGACCUCAGCUUUUUUACCUCCUUUCUUAAUGCUUAAAUCUACAAAUGAAAUUAGGGCCAGUCACACUGGUAUUUCCAUCAUCAGCUAUCCCUAGUGGUUCAAAUUUAGUGCAAACCUGCUAUGAGUACAUAUUAAUUAGGUGAAUAAAAUAGGAUGAAAUUACAACAUGAGUUUUUUAAUAACUAUUCUUUGAAUUAAGUGUGGUUUUAUCUUAUGAGUUUACAGUUGUUUUGUUGAAAAUCUAAAAAUAUCCUUAUAUGAGCAACUAAGUUGCUAACAGCCCAUGGUGUGAGUCAAACAUUAACUACAGUAAAACUCUGCUGGAAGUUCUUUACCUUUGAGAUGCAGGGAGCUAUUUCAAGUGAAGUUGCUCAUUCUCUGUGUGGAAUGGUGUGGGGGUCUUGCAACCUGAUUUACAGGUCAAAGUCUGAAUAAGAAUUUCCUUGUCCCUGUUUUCUGUACACUGUGUCACCGAACACCAGGUAUAAAGUACAUGAGCUUCUUUUAUUUUGCUACUUAUAGUCCAAUUCCAGGCCAGACAAUGUCGGAGACAACUAUUCUUCUGUAGAAAGUUUCAGGAGUCAGCUACUAACUACUGUGUCUGUAAAUGUGCUCUCAAACUAUUUUGUAGUCCUGCUAUUUUUAAAAAUGUGUGGGUAUGGGAAGUGAUGGUGAAUUAACUCAGGGUAAUUGGUGCUUCUCUGUAUUAAGAAAAGUCACACUAGUUGAGGAAGCCUGCUUUCAUGAGUUGUGUAUGUUUAAUUUUUUAAAAAUUCAUCCCACCUUUUCCCACUCCAGUUCCCACCCCUACCUCAUAAAUUCAAGCAAUGAAGGAAUUAGAGUCAUAGGAUUUUAUAGCUGGAAGGAUUUUUAGAGAGAAUCUGGUUAACUCUCUUAACUACAGUUGAGGAAAUUGAUGUCCAGUGAGGUCAAAUAAGAUCAUGUAGCUAGUGUAAAAACCUACAUGACAUUAGCAGUUUAUUUCCAUUGGUAAACACUGUUCUGAAUAAUCUGCCCUAACAGGUGCAUAAUCAGAAGGUAAUAUAAGGGGGAAUCACUAACAUCUGUAUGGUUUUCUCAUCCAUAUCUCAGUGGUUUCUCAGAAGAGCUCUGUGAAGUGUAGCUAUCGAGUUUCCAUUCAAGGAGAAAACAGGCUCCUGGACAGUCGGAGACCUGUCCAUGGCAGUCAUCCACCAAAAGGGCCAGUGCUCCCUGUCUUUGCAUCUUGACAGAACUGUCAGCUGGUCUCAAGAAGUUCUCAUGGACAACAGCAUGGGGAAUCACGUCUUCAUAUUAUAGCUUUAGCUCUAAAAUUGGACCAGUUAUUAACUUCUGGUCCAAUCUAUUUCAUCACUUAUAAAGGAGAAAAAAAAAACACGUUUGAAAGAGCUAUGAGCUCAUAAAUUUUUGAAAAGAAAGAUGCUGGAUAAUUGUAAAUAAAACAUAUUUUAAGAAUCUCCUUAUGAAUACAUUGAAACUGCAGGCAGCACAUAUUGAGCACCUCCCAUGUGUAAAGCAUAUUGUGCACUGCGCCAGUAGACCCAGAGAGAUGAGACAGGAUCAUGGCCUUCAGAGAAGAGGCAAACGCAGCCUGCUCUCCCUUCAAAGACUCAUCUAGAUAGAGAACUGUCCUUGAGAAAAGUCUGGUGCCGUCUGCCUUACUCUAGAGACAGGAGAGGUGUUAAUACUUAGGUCUGAAAUGGGUCAGUUUUUUUCCUAAAUAUUUGUAUUAAAGUAUUCACAUUAAACAAAACUUGUAAAAUACAGAAAAAAAGAAAAAUUACAUAUGUAUAUUCUGAAUUUUUUAAAUAAUGGUAUUUAUAUCUUACACAGAGAUUUUUCUUGGCUUUUCUUUAACUUGAUGGGAUAUCUAAAUGUUCUGUAUCAGUGCAUAACUUUGCAAAUAUAUUUUAAUGAUUACAGAAUUUCAGAAGGGAUCAAUUACUAUGUAUGUCAAUAAUCUGGCUAUUUUUCUAUGGCAAUUACUGAUGUUAUUUUACACAAAAUGAUGAAUAAAAGAUUCUAAACUAAGCUUGGCUACUACUAAGAAAUACUUCCUAAAAGUAUUUUUUUUAAAUAAUGAACUAAGUAGAUUACGUUCAAAUCUUUCUUUAAGAGCAUCAAAAUCACUUAAUUUCUUAAACUAUCCAUAGAAAUUUCAAUUUAUGUACAGUUGACCUAAAUUAGAAAUGGAUUUUUUUAAUUGUGAAAUUUAGAAACAAAAACAUUUUUUAAUGCAGUUUCCAUUAUAGUAUUGUGUUCCUCUGAAAUAAUGUCUCAUUACUCUAAAGGUAUAAAUACUAAUCAUGUUGAAUUUUUACUGUAUGGAGCAAUAUAAUCUAAUAGUUUUCAUUUAAAAAACAAGGACUGUAUAAAUUCUGAAUUCUGACAUUAUUCUAAUGAAAUUCAUCUUAAAUUCACCUAAUGUCCCUUUAGAAAUACGAUCUUCUAUUUCAACAGCACUGCGAGGGCAUCCCUGGGUGAGAGCCGCUCCUUGUGAGGAGCCCAGUGGAGCAAGAACCCCUGAAUGGGAGAGCUGAGCCGGCAGGUGGUGGAGGGGUGCAGCCUGGGAAGUGCUGACAAAGAUGUGCCUGGAGGAAGAGAGGGAUGAGGAGUGGGAGGAAAGUCCCUCCUUAGCCUGAUGGCUGGCAUGCCCUGACGCUCUGGAAUCCCCCUCCCUAGAGAGAAUGCCAGCCAAGGUGGGAGAGGAGGGGCUCCCACAGAGGGGGGCGUAGGGUAAUGACUACCAAAAGCUCUCUGAGGAGCUUGGAUAGCUGCUGUCUGGGGAACGCUGGCCUAGGUUGUAAUCAGUAUUAUUUUAAAGCAGAGUUUGGCAAAUGAAUAAAAAUAUGAUGAAUGAAUGAGCGACUGAAUGAAUUGUUUUCUCACCAAAGGAUCUGGAUAUUUGUUUCCACUCUUAAACGUUUUUUCAAUUAUUAAUUUUUUGUGCCCAAUUUACAAUGAAAACACCAUUUUUAUUGAAUUAUCAUUAACUAUUUCAUAUUUAUUCAAACCCACACCUUCCCCAACUCCACAGAUGAUUCAGAAGAGCUUAUAAUAAGCAAAACAUCAGACUAGGAAAGAGAGUGAGAGAAGUGAUUCCACCUCUCCAAGCCCCGUGUCCUCACCUGUGUGCUGAUGGUAAUGUACAUGACUGAUCAUACGUGGAAGGGACACCAUGAGAUCGUGCAUAAAAUGACAUUGCUGGACAUACAACACAAACGAUGUAGUAAAGUUAAGGCUAUAAACUUGAGGACACGGUUUAUCUAGCUUCUCAACUUAUUUCUCAUUACCAUUUUAUUAGAGAAUGUUAAUUGAAUUAAAAAUAUAUUAAUUUCUAGAGUAGAAGAGUUUUUAUUCUUUAUAAUUCUGUAAACUCUAUACUAUCCAAGAUAAUGCUUUGUUCCUAGAAUUUGCAUUUCUUAAUCUCCCAUGUGUCCACAAUCCAUGUGAAAAUGUUCUUUCAGCCUUCAGCCAUUUUUGAGAAGCAAGGACCAGGUAGGUCUAUAUUUCUAAUAAUUACCAAAAAAAAAAAAAUCAAGGGAAAGUUCAUCAUCAUUGCCAUUAGCAAGAAACAUAAUGAGAAUUAGAAGCCUUUGAAUUAGGCUAAAAGCAGUGUGGACUAGUAAGUGUAAAGUAUAAAUAGAAGAAGACGAAGAUUAAUUUUAAAGGGCAGAAUUUUGUACAUUUAUUUUACUUAGAUUUCAGAUCAGUUCUGUGUGUGCUUUCCACAUAAGGAAGCAGAGACCACUGUGUUUCUUGUCUUUGGGUGGGUUUUCUGAAGACAUGAUGAGGGCCAGAUGUCAGCACUGUUGACACAGUUGGCUGGAACCUUGGCCCCCAGAGAGAUGGUGGGUGGAAGGAUGCAGAGCAGAGCCUGCACACUGGGUCCUCUGCUGACAUGAAACACUCCCAUUCCUACAGUCCUACUGCAAGCAUCCAGAGGUCAGCGCAGGUGGCAAUGAGAUGGAUACGGAGAAGUGGGGAGCCAGGGGAAGAAGCAUCCUCGUUCUUUCCUGGGAUAGAGUCAUCUACAUGCACCUUUGCAUUUUCAUGGCCAAAGGAUUGUCCUAGUGUACAUAAAUAAAGUAAUGAUAACUUCCCCAACCUGCUGAUAAGUGCCUAAAAUCUCACCAUUCAAGUAUGGGCCAUUUAAUGUAAAUACUCUGCUAUCUUAAAAUCCGGAGAACUGGGUAUGUGAAUGGAAGGAGAUGGGGGAACUUGAGUGGCUGUAAUAUUUUAAGCUGUUCUUAGUUAUGCAUAGCUUAGGAAAAUGCAUGAUUAUAGAGUCAAUAAGAGGGUUCAAGACUGAGUGGUUUAGGGUAGUUAAGAAAAACUUGAAAACUUUAUCUGGGGCCAGUCUUAAACUGUCCACCACCAGAAUGAAUUAAUCCUUCCAACAGUUAAAACUAAUGUGGGGACGAUUAUAAAACCUGACCAGGGUAUAGACAUGAGAGCUGCACUUUUGGGUGGGGAGACUUAUAGGGACCUUGUGUGACAGGGCUAAGGCAGCCAAGAGUCCUGUGGUUUUGAACUAAGUAAGUAGUUUUCUGUGAGCAUUUCCAGGAUUAGAUCUGACAAAUCAGGGUCUCAUGUAUUGGACAUAAUUGAAUCUUGUUCUACUAUAUUCAUUUUUAAUUCAUGAUUUUUUAAUGGAUUCACUGGUCACGUUUCUCAGGUAGUGGCAAGACUUUUUAGUCUUAAGUAAAUUUAUUUAGUUCUGUCUUUCUGGAUUAGUGGGUCUCUGCCAGGAAGAUACAGCAGGAUCAUUUGAUAGCUUGUGCAGAAUACACACUGAGCACCCUCCCUACCUGAGUGAGCACCGCAGAGGGGAUGGGGCAAGAGGCCAUCCCGGCAUGUGGGUUAGAAGAGCCGUCCUGGUGAUUCUGUUGCCGCCCUCUCAUUUUGGGAAUUGCUGUUCCAAAUGGAACCAAUCCUGCUCAGUUACCAGAAAAUAAGCAAAUAGCUUAAACUACAUAACAGUGAGUCUUGCUUAAACCGACAAAAUUGCUCAGCCCUUGUUGGGAUAGGUCUGCUUUUCCUUUCACACAGAUUUCAUUUAGCUGAUGUCUUGCUAAAAAGCAGCCCAUAUGUACUGGCAGUGAAGCACUGUCGUUAUUAAAUGCCCUUCCACGUAUGAACCCUUGCAAUCAGAUCUUACCAUCUUCCAUGCUUUGUGCAGAAUCUUUUAUGUUUAUUCGUAGAGCUCUGAGCAAAGGGCUGCAUCUUCCAAGUUGUGCUAAGGUUUACUGCCUCUUUCACGUGUUCACUGAAUUGUUAUUUGAGGUUGUACACUUAGUGUGUACUAGUGACUGCUUUUCAUUCUUAAAGUUAUUAUAUAAAAGUGUAAGUUUCUGAGGCUUACACUUGGACAGGAGAUCUGUCACUGUGAGAAAAACUUAUAGGAGUAAAACUAUUUUCUUUUUGUGAACAGUUACUGCUACACAAUGUCUUCACAGGGUGUAGGGCUUGGUAUUUAUCUGUUUUAAUUAAACAGUGCCCUGCCUGUCUACCGGUGACUAACUUGAAAGCAGUGGGUGUCUCGGAGCAGCUCACAGGGCUGGCAGCUGUGCUGAGCCUGGUGAACUGACUCGCGCUGCAGGCACGGUGGCACAUGGACGCCAAGCGCUAAGAAUUUCUGGAAUGCAGAAUUGCAGGGCACUGAUAGAGUCUGCUUUGUUCCCCUCUGUGACUUGACCCAUUGAGAAAAUGUGGUUCCCUAGGAAGUUUUAAUAGUUCAAAGUCCUUAGUUAAUAACGAAAAAGGCCACAACAUAAUUCAGCUUGUUUUCACCUGCUGCCUCCAAGAUUAACUUUCCUAACCUUAAUGGGAAAGAGUUACCCUUGGCUUUGAGAGAGUAAUUUAUGGAGCUCUUCACGUUAGUUUGGGUAAACAUGACACUGUUUGUGUGCAUUUUGGUCUUGUUUCGGGUUUGGUGUCACUAACUCCUAAGACUUCUGCCACUUCAGAGCCUAUGGUCACUUCAUCUAAAAGCAAACCCCGGGAGAGGCGGCCCGCUUCUCGGCCCUCGCUUGGUCCUCCCUCCCUGGGAAGGGCGGCGGAGCUUCGCCUCGGGUCUCCCUCCUCCGUCUUCCUACGAGGACGGGAGCGGAGCGCCCCGCGCGGAUCUGCGGCGAGCGCGCCCCCGUCCAGCCGUAGGCGCUGCGCUUUGCAGGGCAAGUUCCGAUCCGCGAGGCGCUCGUGCCGGGCGGGCCGCGUGCUCGCUCUCGGCCUCUCCGAUGGGCGACGAGGGGCCGCCCGGGAGCGGGGUUCGGGGCGCAGGCGGUGGAGGACAGCAGCACGCAAGCCCUCUCUCGGCGGAACCCGGAGCGCGGGAAGCGGACCAUCGCCUUUUCGCCGUCUGAGUCCGCCGGCACGCGGCGUUGCGGUCAGGGCGCCCACUGCGUCGGGCCAGCGCGCCCCGCGCGGCCUCCCCGAGGACGCAGGCACCUGCGGGCCCGGCCCGGUCCCCGCGGGAGCCGCCUCGGCCGACACGUCUCCAGGCGACCUCCGCGGCUCACCCGGCCUUGGAGCGCAGAGGAGCCCGCGCCCCGGCAGCGGGCGCCUGUAAACACCCGACUGGAAGCCGUGGGCGGCGGGCUUUCAGUCGGGUGUCUGCAGCCGCCGCCUGCCCCGCCCCGCGCCGCGCUCGGCUGGCCGUCUCUGCGGCGCACUGCGCAAGCUGGGGAGGCGUCCGCGGAUGGCUCCGGACCAGCCCCGCGCCUCCGCGGGAGCCUGAUCUGCGCGCGCAGGAAGCAGUGUGAAGAGGCAGAGAAAGGCACAAUAACUUAAAUGAAAUAGUAAGUAUAAAUGAAAAAUAAAAUAGAGGAAUCAAGAGCCCAAAGAACUUUUAAGGAAAGCUCAUUGAAUGGGUUACAUCACACUGACUGGUCUCCUGGCUCUCUUUGAAUCCACUCACGGCAUUCUACACAAAGAUGACAUGAACUUCUGCUUAUUCUCUCCCACUAUAGAAUUUGCUAGACUUUAGCUGUAGACAGCCUGACCUAAGCUGCAUGAGAACUUGAGACGGAAUCACUUCAGCCACAGAUUCUAAGUCCGAGAGGCGAGCUGUUUCCCCAGGAUAAACACAAGAAGGGUAGUUAACCAGAGAGUGGACUGGACUUUCUCAGAGCAAACGAUUUGAAAGUAACACCGUGGAAUGUUUGAGUUGGAUAAAUCUCCAUGAGUUCUAUCAGCAUAUUCUGAACUGAUGUCUGUUUUAAAGUCACGUUAUUUUUGAUGAUCCAUAUACUGUAACGUUGUAGUGAGGCAUUCUACACCUGGAGUUUUUCCUUAGGGUCUCAGGUAAAUACAAACAGCCUAGAGUAAGAACCUUUAAAGCUACUAUAAAUGAAAGAGGCUUAAAAUAGAGUGUAUUGUCACACUUUCAUUAUGAUUUUCUCAUAGUUGUUCCCUGGACAUUUCCACAUCGUUUCAUUAUUCGUUGAGAGUGUAUUUGUCACAUUGUGGGAGGUUUGGAUUUUGUGUUCCAGUGGGUAAUGUUUCCCUACUAAAACGCAUCUCACACAAUGAGCAAAAUGAAAGCAGAAUGGAAGGUGAAAUGGCAAAUAGAUGGCCUCAGUGAGGGGAACAAGCAGGUGGCAAAGUAGCUUAGGAGAUUUGCCCAUGGAAUACGACGCAUAAUCAGAGGAUGCAGGCACCCUCUCCAGGGAAUUCGCAACAGCGCUGGAAUGCAGCAAUGGUGGGAGAUCUGGAGCCUGACUCGGAGUCAGUAAUGCCCAUGACUGGGGAAGGCAUGAGCCACUGAAGGUCCGGGAUACACAGAUGCAGUAAGCUUCAAAGUGGCAACAGUGGAUUUUCUCCAGGCAGUCAUUCAGGGCUUUAUAAAGCUGCUACAUUUUUAACCUAAAGAAUGGGAUUUGGAGAAAGCUACUGUGUAUCCUACACUGCACUACUGUAGAUUUUUAAAUCAGAUAAUAGAGUGAAAGAUUGUUUUGAAUACCAAAUCUGCCAGAUGUGAUCAGAUAUAAUAUACACUUGAAAUGAGGAUCUUUUCACUUGGCAUUCCAAGUGACCAAAUUCCUAGUUUGAGAUUGGUUUUAUGUGAUUAAAUGCCUGUUUAAUCAGAAGCCCUACUUCACAAAAAGAGUAGAUUCCAUGUUUCAACAGGAACUGCCCAGACUUGUCUUUGAGUGGUUAAAAUCAUCAUUUAUGAAACUAAAAUGAUUUUAAUGACUGUACUUAGUUAGGGAGUGGUUCUUUCCAGUUAGAACAUUUUAAGCUCGUAAAUGACUAUUCAAUAGUCAGACCCGACUAUUACGGCCAUUUCUUUUCUUUCUUGUCCAUUUUUAAACUGUUUUCAUGCUUUUCUCUUCUGCACUUAAUUUGUACCCUGAUUUUUCUUCAUUUGGAGUUCAUCACAAAAAAAAUAAUAGUAAUAAAAUAACUAGGGGCCAGCCCUAGGGCCUAGUGGUUGAGUUUGGCAUGUCCUGCUUCCUCGGCCCCAGGGUUCACAGGUUCAGAUCCCAGGUGUGGACCUACAGCACUCAUCAGCCAUGCUGAGGCAGCGACCCACAAACAAAAUAGAGGAAGACUGGCACAGGUGUUAGCUCAGGACCAAUCUUCCUCAGCAAAAAGUAAAAAUGAAAAUAAAAUAACUCAAACUGCCUUCAUAAAAAGUUAAUUUUCCAAGAGGUUUCCUGUCAUUUGAGGAAAGAUGUCCUGUGGUGCAGGCACUUCCAGGAGUUCCUUGGGAGAGUAAAGCAGCCUAACCUUGAAUUAUUUGGGAGUUUAAAAACAAAUUUUCAGGAACUAGCAAGUACUUGUUUAAAUAUUUAAAACCUGAAUAAUCAUCUUCAAAUUGUUAACAAAUUGCCAGGUGGCAAGUGGCAUCAUGCAUUCACUCAUUCAUUCAUUCAUCAAACAUUUACUGGGAACCUCUGGUAUUGCCAAACUCCGGCUGGCCACAUAUUGUGAAAUUUUUUAAAUGAAGUGAAAUGAAACAUGGUGUUUUAUGGAGAGACCGACAGGUGAGCAAAUCACGCAGUAAAGUGCGGGAGCUGUGCUGGAGGACGUGCAGAGCACGCUGAUGCUCACGGGGUGAACAGCUCCUCCCCGGGCUGGGGGGAGGGCAAGCAUGAGGGUGCGAUGACCACAGGAGGCUUCAGAAGAGAGGUUGCUGGAUCUGGGGUUUAAAGAAUGCGUGGGCAUUUGCCAGCUGGACGGUGAGUGAAGGUGCGAAACAGCAGAGUAAAGAGCAGGCUUGCGUGAUUUAGUCCUUCAGAGGGUCUUCACCGCGUCAGUCCUGACGGAAUUCAAUAUUCCUUAAAAGUGGGAUCAUAAACUCUGCACCCACAUCCAUUAAAGGUAUCGUCGGUGUCCUUCUGAGCUCUCCCCUUCACCGCCUCGCUUCCUCUUCCUUCCUUCUCCACGAAAGGCCUCGCCACCCGAGCCAGACUUGGGAGUCAGCCCUGAGUCUCCAUGCCCGCACCCAGCCGCUCACCGAGGGUCCUGUUCUUUUAGUCUUUCUCACGUCUCAUGUUUGUUUGCUCUGUGUCCUUGCUCCCACUGCCCUCAGUGAGGCUCUCACAUCUUGGUCGCUUUUUCCUUCCUGCAGCCUCACAGCCAAAGUGAACUGGAGUCCGGGCACGCUCCUCCGCUCACCUGCUGACACCUGUCUCUGGCCUCCGCAGUUGGAGAGAAGGCCAAACUCCUUAGCCUGGGCUGUGAGGACCCCUCGCCUGCCCUCUGCCCCACCCCCUGGCCUCACCUCCCUCCACCCACGUGCAUCUUUGGCUCCAGCUCUGCUGCCUUCUUGAGGGGCUCAGCAUACUUUAUCUUUGUCUUUCUUUCUCCAGCUGUGUGACCAUCCUUCCCGUUACACUUUACACUGUCCCUUCCCCUGCCCAAGCCUUCCAAAGCCCCUUAGCACCAUCUCAACCUAGCUGACUUUCUUCAACCUUCAAGACUCGGCCCAGCUGUCAGCCAACUCAGAAGUGUCUUUGGACCCACCACAGCACUUG